rnacentral:rRNA from 1 species
GACGAACGCUGGCGGCGUGCUUAACACAUGCAAGUCGAGCGGUAAGGCCCUUUCGGGGGUACACGAGCGGCGAACGGGUGAGUAACACGUGGGUGACCUGCCCUCAGCUCUGGGAUAAGCCUGGGAAACCGGGUCUAAUACCGGAUAUGACUCCAUGACGCAUGUUGUGGGGUGGAAAGCCUUGUGCGGCCGAGGAUGGGCCCGCGGCCUAUCAGCUUGUUGGUGGGGUGAUGGCCACCAAGGCGACGACGGGUAGCCUGCCUGAGAGGGCGACCGGCCACACUGGGACUGAGACACGGCCCAGACUCCUACGGGAGGCAGCAGUGGGGAAUCUUGCGCAAUGGGCGAAAGCCUGACGCAGCGACGCCGCGUGAGGGAUGACGGCCUCGG